GCACCCAGUGAUUAUAAAAAGACGCGUUAUUCUGAGGGAUUUUACUAGAUGUCAGCUUUUCUACCUUUUCUCCUCUUGAUUCCUUCUUCUCCUGUUCUCUCUUCUGAAGCUGACAACUGGUCCGUUGACUGCGAUUAUGAGAUAUGAGGGUGC